CAUGUGGGUUGUGUAUCACUGGUGCCUUCUCCAUAGCUCGAUGUAGAGUUGCCAUCAGACUACAGAUACAGGAUUUCCUCAAGUUGCGUUUCAUGGCCUGCGACAUGCAGCAUUCCAUGCCUUUCUGCACCGUCGGCGUUCAUGCCAUCGUCGGCGGCCGGGGCGACGGAGCAGGCACUGUCAGGCAGCAAGUUGCAUCCGACCCCCAGCACGUGAUGUGGUUCUCAACGACUUUAUAUGCGGCUGAUCGGCGAGGCCUUCGGAUGAGCUGAAGUUCAGGGCAUGACGACGACAUAUGGGGAGGCCUCCGGCCAGUGGGGCCGAACGCGAUGGUGCUGACAGUCAUGGUGACGGCCAGCGCAGGGCACACACGACUCUGAGGCGGCGAGCACGAGGCAGGUGGCUUGCAGGUCUACCAUGCGCGGUGGGCGUUGGCAGGGCUCAGUGUGCUUGCACGCGGAGGCCGUGAGAGCACGCCUCAGCAAGCUGAGGAACCGGUUGCAGGCGGAUGCGUAGAUGUGUAGGAUAGACACGACCUGUUGCGACGCAAGGAACUCGCCGAGCUCCGGCAAGAUCAUGCCGGAGAGCAACACCAUGUGGAUGGCCAGCAUGUCCAGGUUCUCGAGUCUGUCCGAGCUCGCCGCGAGGGGGCAGAGAUGCUGGUCUCUGCGAGGCCGGGCAUGCUGAGGUUGGAGCAGUCGAGCAGAUGCCGAUCUCUAGCUCGGAUUCGGCCACUCCGAUGGAGGAUGCCAUGCACUCGACCAUCACGUCGCACAUGCAGAAGGUGGGGCUGUCCAACGGAGAUGUUGUCGCGCGUCCAGAGCGUGCACGGGUGCAACUAGAACUUCAAGGUCGUCAUGACGCUGCUGACGAGCAUCAAGGAAAUCCACAUAGGCACCGCGGGCGCGCGCUCCAUACCAUGGAGCAGAUUUUUGGCGCAGCCGGCGCCAGCGUUCUCCUGAUAGUUUAUGGACAGCCCCUUUUUUCUGUC